rnacentral:rRNA from 1 species
GAUGAACGCUAGCGGGAGGCCUAACACAUGCAAGCCGAGCGGUAGAGUCUCUUCGGAGACUUGAGAGCGGCGCACGGGUGCGGAACACGUGUGCAACCUGCCUUUAUCUGGGGGAUAGCCUUUCGAAAGGAAGAUUAAUACCCCAUAAUAUACUGGAUGGCAUCAUCUGGUAUUGAAAACUCCGGUGGAUAGAGAUGGGCACGCGCAAGAUUGGAUAGUUGGUGAGGUAACGGCUCACCAAGUCAGCGAUCUUUAGGGGGCCUGAGAGGGUGAUCCCCCACACUGGUACUGAGACACGGACCAGACUCCUACGGGAGGCAGCAGUGAGGAAUAUUGGACAAUGGGUGAGAGCCUGAUCCAGCCAUCCCGCGUGAAGGACGACGGCCCUAUGGGUUGUAAACUUCUUUUGUAUAGGGAUAAACCUAGAUACGUGUAUCUAGCUGAAGGUACUAUACGAAUAAGCACCGGCUAACUCCGUG